UCGUGCAUUGGUUCUGUAAAAGGGUUGGAUCCGACGCCCCUAGAAGGCUACUAUAGGCUCUCCUUCUCAACUCCUACUCAAUACGUCCACGUCGUGCAGCAAGGCAGAAUUGAGAGGU
rnacentral:ribozyme from 1 species